rnacentral:rRNA from 1 species
GACGAACGCUGGCGGCGUGCUUAACACAUGCAAGUCGAGCGGUAAGGCCCUUUCGGGGGUACACGAGCGGCGAACGGGUGAGUAACACGUGGGUGACCUGCCCUCAGCUCUGGGAUAAGCCUGGGAAACUGGGUCUAAUACUGGAUAUGACUCCACGGUGCAUGUCGUGGGGUGGAAAGCCUUGUGCGGCUGAGGAUGGGCCCGCGGCCUAUCAGCUUGUUGGUGGGGUGANGGCCUACCAAGGCGACGACGGGUAGCCGGCCUGAGAGGGCGACCGGCCACACUGGGACUGAGACACGGCCCACGACUCCUACGGGAGGCAGCAGUGGGGAAUCUUGCGCAAUGGGCGAAAGCCUGACGCAGCGACGCCGCGUGAGGGAU